rnacentral:rRNA from 1 species
AGAGUUUGAUCCUGGCUCAGGACCAACGCUGGCGGCGUGCCUAACACAUGCAAGUCGAGCGAUGAAACCCUUCGGGGUGGAUUAGCGGCGGACGGGUGAGUAACACGUGGGUAACCUACCUCAAAGAGGGGGAUAGCCUCCCGAAAGGGAGAUUAAUACCGCAUAACAUUAGUUUUUCGCAUGAAGAACUAAUUAAAGGAGUAAUCCGCUUUGAGAUGGACCCGCGGCGCAUUAGCUAGUUGGUGAGGUAAAGGCUCACCAAGGCGACGAUGCGUAGCCGACCUGAGAGGGUGAUCGGCCACAUUGGAACUGAGAUACGGUCCAGACUCCUACGGGAGGCAGCAGUGGGGAAUAUUGCACAAUGGGCGAAAGCCUGAUGCAGCAACGCCGCGUGAGUGAUGAAGGCCUUCGGGUUGUAAAGCUCUGUCUUUGGGGACGAUAAUGACGGUACCCAAGGAGGAAGCCACGGCUAACUACGUGCCAGCAGCCGCGGUAAUACGUAGGUGGCAAGCGUUGUCCGGAUUUACUGGGCGUAAAGGAUGCGUAGGCGGAUAUUUAAGUCAGAUGUGAAAACCCCGAGCUUAACUUGGGGACUGCAUUUGAAACUGGAUAUCUAGAGUGUGGGAGAGGAGAAUGGAAUUCCUAGUGUAGCGGUGAAAUGCGUAGAGAUUAGGAAGAACACCAGUGGCGAAGGCGAUUCUCUGGACCAUAACUGACGCUGAGGCAUGAAAGCGUGGGUAGCAAACAGGAUUAGAUACCCUGGUAGUCCACGCCGUAAACGAUGAGUACUAGGUGUAGGA